CCCCAUCCAUUCCCAUGGCAUCGUUUGAAGGGCUCUGGAGCCAGCCGCCUGGGUUCGAAUCCUGACUGUCCCCCUCACCAGGCUCUGGGGAGGAAAGGGAGCCCAUGGCAGACCAGACCGAGGACGUUCAUGGGCGAGUGUGUGGUGGUGGGUGAACUGCGGCAGAACCCGAGAUUAACAGCUGGAACCCUCUCCUCUUGCAGGUCUGGGUGAAAAGCGUGGGACCCUCAGCCCAGAGCCGCACAAGACUUGGAUUUGCUUUGGAAACCACUGUGCUUUUCAACAAGAUCGUUCAAAUGGCCUGGGUGGAGACGGGGAGCUGGAGAGUUGGGGAUGGAAGCCGAUUUUAAGCCUGGAGGAAUCCAAACUGCACACGAUGAGGAGA
rnacentral:lncRNA from 1 species